UGGACAAUGGGCGCAAGCCUGAUCCAGCCAUGCCGCGUGAGUGAAGAAGGCCUUCGGGUUGUAAAGCUCUUUUGUCGGGAAGGAAGGGGUNNUUUUUAAUACCUUGGACUAAUGACGGUACCGNAAGAAUAAGCACCGGCUAACUACGUGCCAGCAGCCGCGGUAAUACGUAGGGUGCAAGCGUUAAUCGGAAUUACUGGGCGUAAAGCGCGCGCAGGCGGUUNUUUAAGUCAGAUGUGAAAUCCCCGGGCUCAACCUGGGAACUGCAUUUGAUACUGCNUGGCUAGAGUACGGUAGAGGGGGGAUGGAAUUCCNCGUGUAGCGGUGAAAUGCGUAGAUAUG
rnacentral:rRNA from 1 species